GCCAGUUUAGAGUGUGUAAUGAAUAGACAACCAUAUACCAAAAAGUUGAUAAAUGUAACUUGGGGGUAAACACGAAAUGAGGCUCGAUUUAUCAAGAACGUGUAGCUGUAAGAUCGUGGUGAACCUCGAUAGUGAAUGCCCAGCGUUUUAUAUCAAGGAAAUUAAAUGAUAUUUCAGCUGCUGAAAGUUUGAUCACCUUCUCCAAUUGGUGUUGUUUCACUCAUCUGUAGGCCAGAACUCGAACCAUUAGCUUCAGGGGCACCACCAGAUUCGGAGAUUCUUGUAACCCUCUGCAACUCAUCUGAUGAACGAGCUAACAACUGAUCAUCGGUCAACUGUUCGUUCUGAGAUGCAGACUUUUUAGGUUGGCGGAUGGCUGCAGCUGCCUCUGCCAUUGCGACUGGAGGAGGCUGGGGAGGAACCCAUGAUCUCUGAAUUGGUCGUUCCUGAACUGGUGCAGCUGGAGAUCCAAAGUUUUGUUCACCUUCAGCUUCGAUUUCAGUUAUCCUGGCAUUCUUGCGUUGCCACCAAGGUGCUGAACUGUCUCCAUUCGUCAGAUUGUCUUGGUAACCAUAAUUCAAGCCAUCGCCACUCCCUUGAGAUUGAAGGAAAUUGGAAUUAUUUUGACUCUGGCCAACUUCCCAAGGCUUAGGCUUUGCUGCAACACGAUCAGGUACAGGCUGGUUAGGAUUUGGUGGCUGAUCAUUUAUAUCUCGGAUGUUGGGAGGCUUCUCUCCUCUUUGAACCAUAGCCAUAAUCUCCAUAUAAGACUUUGGAUGGGGUGCAGCAGAUGGUUCAACAGAUGCAGGUGGUGACAAAGAUCUCACUGAAUGUGCAUCACCAUUUACUUUUCCAUUGGCAUAAGAUUGCCUAGAUUGAGUAACUGAAAUUCUUCGAUCAUCUAG
rnacentral:misc_RNA from 1 species